rnacentral:tRNA from 1 species
GGGGUUGUGGCUCAGUGGUAGAGUGCUCACCUAGCAUGUGAGACGCCCUAGGUUCAAUCCUCAGCACCA